rnacentral:rRNA from 1 species
UACGGAGGGCGCGAGCGUUAAUCGGAAUUACUGGGCGUAAAGCGCGCGUAGGCUGUUGUGUAAGUUGGGGGUGAAAUCCCACGGCUCAACCGUGGAACAGCCCUUGAUACUGCGCGACUUGAAUCCGGGAGAGGGUGGCGGAACUCCAGGUGUAGGAAUGAAAUCCGUAGAUAUCUGGAGGAACAUCAGUGGCGAAGGCGGCCACCUGGACCGGUAUUGACGCUGAGGCGCGAAAGCGUGGGGAGCAAACAGG